rnacentral:rRNA from 1 species
AACGAACGCUGGCGGCGCGCCUAACACAUGCAAGUCGAACGAGAAUCCGGGGCAACCCGGUAGUAAAGUGGCAAACGGGUGAGGAAUACAUGGGUAACCUACCCUUGAGAAGGGAAUAACCCGCCGAAAGGUGAGCUAAUACCCUAUACGCUAUCUUUUUUUCGAAAGGAAUAGGAAAGACCGGGUCGGAGGACCUGGUACUCAAGGAGGGGCGUCAUGUCCUAUCAGCUUGUUGGUGGGGUAACGGGCCUACCAAGGCUACGACGGGUAGCUGGUCUGAGAGGAUGAUCAGCCACACUGGCACUGAGAUACGGGCCAGACUCCUACGGGAGGCAGCAGUGAGGAAUAUUGCGCAAUGGGCGAAAGCCUGACGCAGCGACGCCGCGUGGGGGAGUGAAGGUUUUCGG